AGUGAACGCUGGCGGUAGGCCUAACACAUGCAAGUCGAACGGCAGCACAGUAAGAGCUUGCUCUUACGGGUGGCGAGUGGCGGACGGGUGAGGAAUACAUCGGAAUCUACUUUUUCGUGGGGGAUAACGUAGGGAAACUUACGCUAAUACCGCAUACGACCUACGGGUGAAAGCAGGGGAUCUUCGGACCUUGCGCGAUUGAAUGAGCCGAUGUCGGAUUAGCUAGUUGGCGGGGUAAAGGCCCACCAAGGCGACGAUCCGUAGCUGGUCUGAGAGGAUGAUAAGCCACACUGGAACUGAGACACGGACCAUACUCCUACGGGAGGCAGCAGUGGGGAAUAUUGGACAAUGGGCGCAAGCCUGAUCCAGCCAUACCGCGUGGGUGAAGAAGGCCUUCGGGUUGUAAAGCCCUUUUGUUGGGAAAGAAAAGCAUCAGGUUAAUACCCCGCUGUUCUGACGGUACCCAAAGAAUAAGCACCGGCUAACUUCGUG
rnacentral:rRNA from 1 species